AGAGAUUAUUUCCUUCCAGAAUUCUCAGGAAACUUUUGUCAUUGCCCCUAUGCUUCUGUCUUGUGGAUUUUUUUUUAAACCCUUGCCUUCCAUCUUGGAGUCAAUACUGUGUAUUGAUUCCAAGGCAGAAGAGUGGUAAGGGCUAAGCAAUGGGGGUCAAGUGACUUGCCCAGGGUCACACAGCUAGGAAGUGUCUGAGGCUAGAUUUGAGCUACCCAGCUGCCCCCUGUCUUGUGGAUUUUGAGGAGGGACAAGCACAUAAUUGGUGAGGACCAGACCAACAGGAAACUUAAGUGUUUGAUACAGUUUAAAGGUACUCCUCACAUGCCAACAUGGCUCCAUGGAACACCAUUAUAGAUGUCUCUGAUGCCUGUAGCAUCAACUGUACCCCCUGCCUGUAGCAACAACGUCCCCUGGAAGUGGGGUGGGGCAGUUUGACUGAAGGAAGACAAGGGGGAAACUGGUGCUUUAUGAUGUCAGGGCCCUCUCAGAUCCUCUAUCUGGGAUAAAUGCAUCAAGGUCCAGUUUUGAUUUAGGGGUCUAAGGAAGUACACAUCUACUUUUCUCUGAGUCUCAUAACACAGCCUCUUGGGAGAAAGUGCUUAUCUUUCUGGAAUGACUAGAUUUGGCUUUUAGUGACUUUAUUUUUAUUGUGGAUCCUGUCCCUAAAGACCUUUCACUUGUAAUCAACAAGAAUCGCAAGCAAGAAUCGGGCUGGCAAAAAUUGCUGUGCAUUAGAACCUUUGGCAUAUCCUGCUCAUCUUGGAAGUUCUUACUGAUUCUAUUGGUGAAAAAUGCCAAGAGGGAGAGAGAAGUGUGACCUGUGGAUGGAGGAAUGCAGUGUGGGGUCUACCAGGAAGUCUAGGAGAAGUAAAGGGGUUUGGAAGACAUCUAGUUAACCCAGUCUUGCCCAUCAGUGAUCUACUCAUAUAAUCAAAAUUGUUUCUGUUUUUUUAAGAAGACCCUUUGGGAGAAGAAUGGAGAGAAGAUCCAGGAUUUUUCCCAAAGAAAUAGCCCACUUCCCUCGAAAAGGUCUCCAAAACAACAGCUCGUCAGUGCUGUUACCGUGUCCUCCACAUCAGAUGUCCCCACUGUGGGAACAAAGCCAUUCGUCCAGGAUUGACCAGAUGCCCCACCUCGGCUACCAGGCCAGAGAUCCUGAAACAUCAACCCCUCCCUUCCUCAGGACUGCAGAGAGAGAAUCCUCGCCUCAGGUCUUCCAGCAUCUCCCCGAAGAGUCCCAGCUGCCCCAGGAUGACCACAAGACAAUGGCUGUCCUGUUGCCCUACCUUCACCACCGAGGUCUGGCCAAACCAUCGCCCCGCCACAAAUACCGCGCCUCGCCGUCAGUCAUGCCUUUCCCUCGGUCUAACUUCAGGGCCAAGAAAACAGUUCUGAAGUUAACGGCUGAUGAACAGUGUACGGUGUCUCCCCCUCGCUCCCCAAACCAGUCGGACUAUUCCCUGGACCCUGACCACCUGGCUUUGGAUCAUUCCGGCCUUGACCAUCUGCCUAAAAUUUUUCCUGGUUACAAAAAUCGGGCUGAGGCCAUCACACCCCUUGGCCAGAAGGCCGAAGUUCUCUUAUAUGAGGGGGACGAGUCCAGUCCGAGAUCUGCAUAUAGACCUAGCCUAGACUACCAGACAGGGCCGACGCCGGGGCCGCUGACCACUAUGCAGCAGACCAAAGCGUCCCUGCGGCACAGACGACACCACGUCAGGGCCUCCACUCUGCUGCUGGGGUUCACCAAGAAGGGAGACAGACCCGUUUCAGCCUCUUCCCAUGGUCUUAAAGAUCGGUCCAGGGCCACAGUUUUCAAGCCACCAGACCUGGCCAGAGUGUUGAAAGAAUCCCACUCGGAUCUCUGCCCCAAAGAAAUAAUAUCCCUGCUAAGAUACGCUAACUCCGAGUACAGCUUGACUCCAUCGUUAUCGGAUCAGGACCAGAGUCCCGAUCAGGAGGCGGAGGAAAUGCAAGCUCCCCCGGCCGAAGACGCGUCUCUGAUUGAAGUAGAAGCAACAUCUCUAAGGGGAGACUACCAGACUACCGCAGCAGCAGGUCUAGAUCACGGAGUGACACCUCCACCGAGUGUGAAGCUCCAAGACCUGAUUCACUGGAGCGCACCAACGCCUGCCUCUGAGGCUUUACCAGACCCAAAUGUCCUUUUCACACUUCAAGCAGAACAAGAAAAAAUGGCAGAGAGAAUGGAACACCAGGCGAUAAUCCCAGCAGGGCAAGACUACCUAGGGGAAGUGGAACAAGAAAUAGACCUGGACUAGGCCACAUUUUUCACAGGUCAGGAUCAUGGGCCAUUGGACCUCAGGAUAAGAUUUUAACCUGGUUUCGACUACUAAACUACAAUGCUGACGGGCAAGGAUCCUCAGAUACUACCUCCUAUGGCUUUAGACCCACAGAGCAAAAUACUUCCUGAGUCAACAGGUUACAUCUCUAAUAAAUCCUCAUCACUUGGCCA
ensembl:lncRNA